rnacentral:rRNA from 1 species
AACGGUGAUUAAUACUGGAUACUCCCUACGGGGGAAAGUUUUUCGCUAAAGGAUCAGCCUAUGUCCUAUCAGCUUGUUGGAGAGGUAAUGGCUCACCAAGGCUAUGACGGGUAUCCGGCCUGAGAGGGUGAUCGGACACUCUGGAACUGAGACACGGUCCAGACUCCUACGGGAGGCAGCAGUAGGGAAUAUUGCUCAAUGGGGGAAACCCUGAAGCAGCAACGCCGCGUGGAGGAUGAAGGUUUUAGGAUUGUAAACUCCUUUUGUUAGAGAAGAUUAUGACGGUAUCUAACGAAUAAGCACCGGCUAACUCCGUGCCAGCAGCCGCGGUAAUACGGAGGGUGCAAGCGUUACUCGGAAUCACUGGGCGUAAAGAGUGCGUAGGCGGGGUAAUAAGUCAGAUGUGAAAUCCUGUAGCUUAACUACAGAACUGCAUUUGAAACUGUUACUCUGGAGUGUGGGAGAGGUAGGUGGAAUUCUUGGUGUAGGGGUAAAAUCCGUAGAGAUCAAGAGGAAUACUCAUUGCGAAGGCGACCUGCUGGAACAUUACUGACGC